rnacentral:rRNA from 1 species
UGGGGAAUAUUGCACAAUGGGCGCAAGCCUGAUGCAGCCAUGCCGCGUGUAUGAAGAAGGCCUUCGGGUUGUAAAGUACUUUCAGCGGGGAGGAAGGGAGUAAAGUUAAUACCUUUGCUCAUUGACGUUACCCGCAGAAGAAGCACCGGCUAACUCCGUGCCAGCAGCCGCGGUAAUACGGAGGGUGCAAGCGUUAAUCGGAAUUACUGGGCGUAAAGCGCACGCAGGCGGUUUGUUAAGUCAGAUGUGAAAUCCCCGGGCUCAACCGGGGAGGGUCAUUGGAAACUGGGAGACUUGAGUGCAGAAGAGGAGAGUGGAAUUCCAUGUGUAGCGGUGAAAUGCGUAGAUAUAUGGAGGAACACCAGUGGCGAAGGCGGCUCUCUGGUCUGUAACUGACGCUGAGGCUCGAAAGCGUGGGGAGCAAACAGG